UGUUCACCCCUAUAUCUGUGUAAGAUAAGGUUUUUACCCCUGUUCCUAUGUGUAACAUAAUGCAUCCAUCGCCCUGCCCCUAUAUGUAACAUAAGGUGUUCACCACUAUAUCAGUAGUAUAAGAUAAGGUUUGUACCCCUGCUCCUAUGUGUAACAUAAGGGGGUCCAUCCCUAUAUCAGUGUAAGAUAAGGUUUAUACCCC